GACGAACGCUGGCGGCGUGCUUAACACAUGCAAGUCGAACGGUAAGGCCCUUCGGGGUACACGAGUGGCGAACGGGUGAGUAACACGUGGGUGAUCUGCCCUGCACUUCGGGAUAAGCCUGGGAAACUGGGUCUAAUACCGGAUAGGACCACUGCCUGCAUGGGUGGUGGUGGAAAGCUUUUGCGGUGUGGGAUGGGCCCGCGGCCUAUCAGCUUGUUGGUGGGGUGAUGGCCUACCAAGGCGACGACGGGUAGCCGGCCUGAGAGGGUGACCGGCCACACUGGGACUGAGAUACGGCCCAGACUCCUACGGGUGGCAGCAGUGGGGAAUAUUGCACAAUGGGCGCAAGCCUGAUGCAGCGACGCCGCGUGAGGGAUGACGGCCUUCGGGUUGUAAACCUCUUUCAGCACCGACGAAGCGCAAGUGACGGUAGGUGCAGAAGAAGGACCGGCCAACCACGUGCCAGCAGCCGCAGUAA
rnacentral:rRNA from 1 species